AACGAACGCUGGCGGCAGGCUUAACACAUGCAAGUCGAACGCAUCCUUCGGGGUGAGUGGCAGACGGGUGAGUAACGCGUGGGAACGUGCCCUUCAGUUCGGGAUAACCCAGGGAAACUUGGGCUAAUACCGGAUACGUGCGAGAGCAGAAAGAUUUAUCGCUGAAGGAUCGGCCAGCGUCUGAUUAGCUAGUUGGUGGGGUAAUGGCCCACCAAGGCGACGAUCAGUAGCUGGUCUGAGAGGAUGAUCAGCCACAUUGGGACUGAGACACGGCCCAAACUCCUACGGGAGGCAGCAGUGGGGAAUAUUGGACAAUGGCCGCAAGCCUGAUCCAGCCAUGCCGCGUGAGUGAUGAAGGCCUUAGGGUUGUAAAGCUCUUUCGUCCGGGACGAUAACGACGGUACCGGAAGAAGAAGCCCCGGCUAACUUCGUGCCAGCAGCCGCCGUAA
rnacentral:rRNA from 1 species